GCAAGUAUGCCGUAAUUAUAGGUAGCCGGGUAGAUCUUAGGAAUUUAUGUUAAUACGUAAGAGUUCGAGUCUCUUUACUUGUA
rnacentral:tRNA from 3 species